GAUGAACGCUAGCGGCAGGCCUAACACAUGCAAGUCGAGGGGUAGACAUCUUUGGAUGUUGAGACCGGCGCACGGGUGCGUAACGCGUAUGCAAUCUACCUUAUACUAAGGGAUAGCCCAGAGAAAUUUGGAUUAAUACCCUAUGGUUAAUUAAAAAGGCAUCUUUUUAAUUAUAAAGAUUUAUUGGUAUAAGAUGAGCAUGCGUCCCAUUAGUUAGUUGGUAAGGUAACGGCUUACCAAGACGAUGAUGGGUAGGGGGCCUGAGGUGGGGAUCCCCCAAACUGGUACUGAGACACGGACCAGACGCCUACGGGAGGCAGCAGGGAGGAAUAUUGGUCUAUGGAGGCAACUCUGAACCAGCCAUGCCGCGUUCAGGAUGAAGCAUCUAUGGUGUGUAAACGGCUUUUGUACGGGAAGAAAAAAGCUACGUGUAGCUGACUGACGGUACCGUAAGAAUAAGGAACGGCUAACUCCGUGCCAGCAGCCGCCGUAA
rnacentral:rRNA from 1 species